rnacentral:rRNA from 1 species
CCUACGGGAGACUGCAGUGGGGGAUAUUGCACACUGGGGGAAACCCUGAUGCAGCGACGCCGCGUGUGGGAAGACGGUCCUCUGGAUUGUAAACCACUGUCCCCAGGGCCGCAGAUGACGGUACCUGAGUAAGAAGCCCCGGCUAACUACGUGCCAGCAGCCGCGGUAAUACGUAGGGGGCAAGCGUUAUCCGGAUUUACUGGGUGUAAAGGGAGCGUAGCCGGCAGUGCAAGUCUGGCGUGAAAGGCGGGGGCUCAACCCCCGGACGGCUCUGGAAACUGGACGGCUGGAGAGCAGGAGAGGUAAGUGGAAUUCCUAGUGUAGCGGUGAAAUGCGUAGAUAGUAAGAGGAACACCAGUGGCGAAGGCGGCUUACUGGACUGUAACUGACGUUGAGGCUCGAAAGCGUGGGGAGCAAACAGGAUUAGAUACCCCAGUAGUC